UCGUUAGCAACGUUUCGUCAUUGCGUUCAGACAUAAAUUUAUUAACUCCAAGCAUACUACCACCCCAACUUCACAUUUAUAACAGGGAAACACUCAUCGGCAGUAAAUACUAAUAUUUAAUUUGCUUUGGAAAUGUAUCGAUUAUUUAAGGUUUUCAUGAGUCAUUCAUGUUAGUCGCUAGUGUAUUGAAGUACGGUAAUAUUAUAAUGCACGGAAACUUGGAAAAUUGAAAGAAAGAUUAUACGCUGUACUUCUUAAACUUUUUACCGUUCCUCGUUCCUUUAUGUUCAAAGUUCUUUCCCAAUACUGAUUACCAGUGUUUUUUUCGUGAAAUAACUACAAGGUUUACGUUUAUUUUUAUGAACUUAAACAACGAAUAUUGUGAUUGUAUGAACAAAAUAACUAAUCAGAUUCAAUUAUUCAAAAAACAGUUUGCUUCGCUCGCUAAAAACUAUUUUACAAGACUCUUACAUAGCACAUUCACAAAUUCGCAAACUAUACGAAAAUAAUUCUGUUGUUACCCC